rnacentral:rRNA from 1 species
GACGAACGCUGGCGGCGUGCUUAACACAUGCAAGUCGAACGGCAAGACCCUGCUUUCGUGCGCUGCCCGAGUGCCGAACGCGUGAGUAACACGUAAGUAACCUGCCCUUCACUUUCGGAUAACUUCACGAAACUGGGGCUACUACCGGACAGGAGCUCCUCCUGCAUGGUGGGGGUUGGAACGUUUCGGCGGUCGGGGAUGGACUCGCGGCUUACCAGCUUGCUGGUGGGGUAGUGGCUUACCAAGCCUUUGACGGGUAGGCGGCCUGUGAGGGUGAACGGCCACAUUAGGACUAAGGGAGGGCGCAGACGCCUACGGUGGACAGCGGGGGGGAGUAUUGCACAGUGAGCGGAAGCCUGUGGCGACGGCGCUGCGGGCGUGAUGACGUCCUGUGGGGUGUAAACCGCUGUCGCCUGUGACGACGCGGGAGUGACGGUAAUGGAUGAAGAAGCACCGGCUAACUACGUG